AACGAACGCUGGCGGCAGGCUUAACACAUGCAAGUCGAACGGGCCCUUCGGGGUCAGUGGCAGACGGGUGAGUAACGCGUGGGAACGUGCCCUCCAGUUUGGGAUAACCCAGGGAAACUUGGGCUAAUACCGGAUACGUGCGAGAGCAGAAAGAUUUAUCGCUGAAGGAUCGGCCCGCGUCUGAUUAGCUGGUUGGUAGGGUAAUGGCCUACCAAGGCGACGAUCAGUAGCUGGUCUGAGAGGAUGAUCAGCCACAUUGAGACUGAGACACGGCACAAACUCCUACGGGAGGCAGCAGUGGGGAAUAUUGGACAAUGGGCGCAAGCCUGAUCCAGCCAUGCCGCGUGAGUGAUGAAGGCCUUAGGGUUGUAAAGCUCUUUCAGUGGGGACGAUAAUGACGGUACCCGCAGAAGAAGCCCCGGCUAACUUCGUGCCAGCCGCCGCAGUAA
rnacentral:rRNA from 1 species